rnacentral:rRNA from 1 species
AGCAGCCGCGGUAAUUCCAGCUCCAAUAGCGUAUAUUAAAGUUGUUGCAGUUAAAAAGCUCGUAGUUGAAUUUCGGGAUCAAUUUGCUGGUCGUGCCUCUGGUACGUACUGGUAUUAUUGGUUUCUCCCUUCUGACGAACCAUGAUGUCAUUAAUUUGAUGUCGUGGAGAAUCAGGACUGUUACUUUGAAAAAUUAGAGUGUUUAAAGCAGGCAUUAGCUUGAAUACAUUAGCAUGGAAUAAUGAAAUAGGACGUUUGAUCCUAUUUUGUUGGUUUCUAGGAUUGACGUAAUGAUUAAUAGGGAUAGUUGGGGGCAUUAGUAUUCAAUUGUCAGAGGUGAAAUUCUUGGAUUUAUUGAAGACUAACUACUGCGAAAGCAUUUGCCAAGGAUGUUUUCAUUAAUCAAGAACGAAAGUUAGGGGAUCGAAGACGAUCAGAUACCGUCGUAGUCUUAACCAUAAACUAUGCCGACUAGGGAUCGGAUGAUGUUAAUUUUUAAUGUACUCAUUCGGCG